GCGGGUCCACGGCGUAAUAUUUAGCAAUGAAAAGCAAGGAACACCCAACAGCCUGUGAGACUCUCCAGAAAAUUAUGCUGAGUGAAAAGAGCCAAUCUUAAGAGGUUCCACGCUGUAGGACUUACUUUAUGUGACAUUCUUGAAAUGACAAAUUACAGAAAUGGAGCACAGGCUCCACGACCCUGAGAUCAAGUCCAGAGCUGAGAUCAAGGGUAUGACUUAACCAGCUCAACCAGCUGGCCACCCACAUGCCCCACAUGCCCCUCUGGGUUGUUUCUUAAAUGACACCGGAGUCUACAAUUUUCUGAAAAGAAAAAGCUUAAUUAAAGAAGAAGAGGAAUGUUCAAGGCCAAGGAUAUCCCUAGAAGGCAGAGAGCUCUUUCUAGUUUAUGCUACCUCAUUUGAUACCCGCCUUCCUUUGUGACUUUCUCAAGGACCCUCCCCAAACUCUAUGCUUUGAUUUCUGGUGUCCUCAGAUGGAUUCAGCAGUGAGAAUAUGGCCUCUCUGAGAUGCCCUCAUGCAGGCAGGGAACAGGGAACAGGGCCGCCUCCUCUUGUGAGCCCAGAAG